AUACGGAGGGUGCAAGCGUUGUUCGGAUUUACUGGGCGUAAAGAGCGUGUAGGCGGUUUGGCAAGUCAGAUGUGAAAGCCCUGGGCUCAACUCAGGAAGUGCAUUUGAAACUGCCAUACUAGAGUAUGGGAGAGGAGAGUGGAAUUCCCAGUGUAGAGGUGAAAUUCGUAGAUAUUGGGAGGAACACCGGUGGCGAAGGCGACUCUCUGGACCAAUACUGACGCUGAGACGCGAAAGCGUGGGGAGCAAACAGGAUUAGAAACCCUAGUAGUCC
rnacentral:rRNA from 1 species